ACCAGCAAAAAUACGGCCGUCCGCCGGGUUCAGUCUGCCUCUUCCAAGCUCGCUCCCCAUUCAUCGCGAGAGGUGCCAAAUCGAGCUCCACCGCCUCCGCCUUUGUUGCCGCCGGGCGCCGGGUUCAGUCUGCCUCUUCCAAGCCCGCCCCCAUUCAACGCGGGAGGUGCCAAAUCGAGCUCCACCACCUCGGACUUUGGCGCCGACGGCGGCAAGGAGCGGCACACAGGGAGGCAGCGCAGCGAGGCACUACCCCAGUGCUCCAUCGUCGAGGCAACGACCAGCGGCCGCUGGUCGUGCUGCCAUUCACCCCGAAGUUGUUCUGUUCCUACUGCGGCUGCCGCAUCGACAAGGGGCUCCACCACGCGGACGUCGUUUACGGCAGUGGGUCAGGUGGUGAUUGGCCUCACCCUCCCACCUCUGGUUGCAGCGCAGCAGCCUCUUUGGCGUGUGUCACGUCCGUCGGCAGAGCUAGCUCCUCCGAAUCAUGGUUAGCUUUGUCUCGCCCUCCCCCUACUGGUGGCGACCUCUUAGGAGUUCAGAUGUGCACUUCAAGUGUUUGUUGGAAUGCCUGAAGAGAGAUUGCGUAUAAUAAAUCAGCGAGCAAUACCCAAAUACAAGCCAAUGGGCAUGUUGAUAGCCAUGUGUACUGGGAUCCUUUCGCAUGCGUAUUUCGUACUCCCUCCAUCACCUUCCUCAUUAUCCAAUCUGCCGGUACACCUCCAACAUUCUUCUUUGCUGCUUGUGGGUGUGCUACCUCUGGGAACUGGUUUCACUUGUGAUUUUUGCAUUUUCCAUGUCCAGAUAUAUAGUUUUGAGUUAGCAAAUUUAUAAUCUGCCUGAUUUUUUUAUGUGCUCUGAUUUUUGUAUGAGUGCAUGGAAGAACAAUCAUGUUUACUUUACUGUGAGUAAUCCUUGUUUAUAAAAAGCUGAUUCUUAUUUGACAUUUUAUCUCCCGUCUUGCAGUCUCACUAUUUUAGCCAACAAAUUUAUCAUGUAACUUUGGUAUCCUUUGCUACAAUUCAGGUCUAGAACAGAUUGCGCCUCCCAUUUCCAUAGGAUCGUUGUAAAUAGAUACGAUUGGAGGAUAAUAUGUAGAUGGAAAUGGCUCCAACAUCAUAGGUAUACAUGAAUAUAUUCAACCCUGCCCCUUUUUCCUUUCAGCAGGUUCUCAAGUGAAUUGCUUGUGGUGCUAACAUUGUACAAAUCUUUAGUUUUCAAACAUUCUUAUUUGGGUAGAACAAGUAGUAUAUUUCUUUUGCUUUUCUGUUAAUGUUACUAUGAAUUCAUUUUAGCUGGCGUUUGUCUCGCGAUUCAUUUCCUUUACGUGCCUUAGUGCCUUCGAAGAAUUUAUCUUUCGCUUGCUCGCAAAAAAAGGUUAUCUAUUAUGUAGUCUUGGACUAAAUACAUCAAUUUUCUCCAGUUGUGCAAAUGAAUAUAUGACUGAUUCAUACUGAAGACAAAACAUUUUAGAAACGUGUAGUAACACUUGGGUUCUAUCUAUUUCUUAGAUGCGUUUUCUUUCUUGCAUCACGUCCCAAAGAUAGCAGUUCGCGAAAAUCUUAGAUUGCGUGAACCAGCGUCAUUUUAUCAUGGAAAAUAAACAAAAAAAUUAUAAACUACCAGUGUGCUAGAGGAAGGAGGGAAGAGCAAUUGUCACGUUUUUUUUACCACUGUGCUCGAAUAACGUCUGACGAACCAGUGUUCUUGCAGGCCAUCAGAAACUUACUAGCUUGCAAAUCGGGUGCUUAUCAUUUUUUAGGGGAUUGAAUAUUCAUUGGGCUAGAGGGGAGGGAAUGCUUGAGAAUCUUGUGAUCUUGCAGUAUUGAAAUUUCUUGCUCUUUUUUUGCUGGUUUGAUCAGAACACGCAUUACGGUAGAAUGGAGAUUGAUUUGAGCAAAUUCCACUUGGUUCUGCUUGAGCCCCCACAAUGUUGGGAUGAUGUGUUGUAUUGGAAUAUGGUAUUCGUGUGUAUGGAAAUGCGCUUCCAUUUGGUACUGCUUAAUCCCCCACAAUUUGGGAUGAUAUGUUGUAUGGAAUAUGCUGGGUUUUAAUAAAAGGCUGUGUGCAUCAUCACGAUGCAGAAGCCGGGUUUAUCCCUUUUCAAAAAAAAAUGUUGUACUGGAAUAUGUUGUUCGUGUGUAUGGAAAUGCGGCAGCUUCAAGCAUCUGUAAUUGCUCUCGCUUGAACUGGUGUAGAAUGUUAGGCAAAUUUAAGUGAAAAUAAUUGUCAUUAAGUACAUAUGUUUUUGUUUUGCCAUUCUGUUUUUGUGAAUAUUUACUUUUAAUUUGUAAGCACAAGAAAACUAAGUUUCGUCAUAAAGCAAUACUGGAUACACUACACUCCUUAACCAACUUUGGUCAGCAGCAGAUUGUGUGGUGUAUGUUAUGUUUUCUGUCAUUUGGGGGUUCAUUUCCUCCUUUCAUGUGUUAUUUGUUUUCUUACCCAGUUGUAGGUCUGGUGGCGUUGUGGUUGUUGGUGAUGGAAUGAUUCCAGGCCGCUUGAGGUUCUUGCCCUCAUGUCUACAACAUCAUCUUCUGUGUUGUCGUUGCCUACGUCUCCUACUAGGUUAAUACUCUUACAAGAUGAGUUUCUAGCUCCACUUUGUUGAAAAGGUAAGAUGCAUAUUCACUCAUCCAUAGGUCCAAUGAAUAAAUCAUUGAACUGUGUGGCUUCAGUUUUCAUUUUUGUGUGAAAUAAAAACAACUAUGUCAUUGGAUCAUUUUUUUUUCUUACGUGACCGCUCUUUGGUUAUUUCGCGGUCAUAUUGUUGGUUUAUUCUAGAAAAUUUGUGUUCUAGAUCAUUGAUCUGUUGGGUCUUAGUGAGUUGCCACACCAUUGGUGUUCUAAGUUAGAUUUUUGCUCCAGUAUAGUGCUUGCAUUGUUGUCUCCUAGAAGUAUAAACGGCAGACAAAACAGAGGUCCUGCUAAAAUGAUGCUCCCUCCGUUUCAUAUUAUAAGAUGUUAUUAUAGGACGGAGGGAGUAGAAUAGAAGGUUUAUUGAUGAUGUAAGCACUUGAUUACUUUUUUGAAGCUUUGUUCGAAUGUUGAGAUGGAUGGUUAGUGCUGACAACAAUAGCUUAGAACUUUUUGUACCGCCUAUAUGUUUCAGCAUGGUCAAAUAGUUCAUUUUGUCUGAAAUGAUUCCAUCAUCAUCCCUCACGAUGAGUUAAGAUACCAUUUUAAUUUUGAUGAUUCUCUUGACGAUUAAGUUUUGUGUAGAAAAUGCAAAGAUUGGACAUUUUUGUUUAUCUACAUGGCUAGACCUACUGCUAUAUACUAGCUUAUGUUAAUAUUUGAGGCCACAAUGACUGCAUUUCCUGUUGCGGGAGUUAACUUAUGUGAAAUUAAUCUCAGAUGUUUCUUGACAUGUGUUUUGACCAUAUGCAACAUUGCUUAGCGCUUUUACAAAUUAUAUUUUUCUUGUGCUUAGUAUCUGUCCAUGUUUAAGUCAUCUAUCUAUUGCUAUGUAUUUGUACUAAACUACUAAGUUCAAUGUUGUUCAAGGAAUUUAAAUAUCUGAUGAGCUUUACAGGCUUCAAGUCCUUGCAUUUUGCUAUUGGUUUUUCCACUGCUCAACGGGUUGUUUUCUGGUUCGCCGUGUGAUUCAUGCACUGUUGACAGUAAUGUCUAUGUGAAAAGGGCGCAACUGACAUUGCUGGUCUGAGGCAUGCAUGCCAUAGCCAUUAGGAUGAUAACAUGGAUACUUUUGCGAUAUUCAGUUAAGCCUGCUUUUCUGGGAUUUAAAAGCUCUAUGUUAUUCUAGAUUAUGCAUUGGUUUAUUUUGUAGCUUCUUCUUUGUAGCUUCUAGAGUCUUCUGGUGUUCCCUAUGAUAGACUUGACAGUAGUUUCAUUGGUUUAUUUUGUAGGCAUGGUUUGUAAGCAGUGAAAGAGCCCCGCGAAAGAAUAUUAACUCAAAAGAAUUUUUUUUGAGAAUUUACAG